AGAGGGAUUCUUUUGACGAAUUGA
rnacentral:snRNA from 1 species